GACGAACGCUGGCGGCGUGCUUAACACAUGCAAGUCGAACGGUGAAGCUCCAGCUUGCUGGAGUGGAUCAGUGGCGAACGGGUGAGUAACACGUGAGCAACCUGCCCCUGACUCUGGAAUAAGCGCUGGAAACGGCGUCUAAUACUGGAUACGAGAAGGGUCCGCAUGGGCACUUUCUGGAAAGCUUUUCGGUUGGGGAUGGGCUCGCGGCCUAUCAGCUUGUUGGUGAGGUAAUGGCUCACCAAGGCGACGACGGGUAGCCGGCCUGAGAGGGCGACCGGCCCCACUGGGCCUAGGACCCGGCCCGAACCCUUCCGGGGGCCAGCGGUGGGAAUAUUGCACAAUGGGCGAAAGCCUGAUGCAGCGACGCCGCGUGAGGGAUGACGGCCUUCGGGUUGUAAACCUCUUUCAGCAGGGAAGAAGCGAAAGUGACGGUACCUGCAGAAGAAGCACCGGCUAACUACGUG
rnacentral:rRNA from 1 species